rnacentral:rRNA from 1 species
CCGGCGACGUAUCUUUCAAGUGUCUGCCUUAUCAACUUUCGACGGUAGGUUACAAGCCUACCGUGGUUAUAACAGGUGACGGGGAAUCAGGGUUCGAUUCCGGAGAGGGAGCCUGAGAAACGGCUGCCACAUCUAAGGAAGGCAGCAGGCGCGCAAAUUACCCACUCCCGGCACGGGGAGGUAGUGACGAAAAAUAACAAUACGGGACUCUACCGAGGCCUCGUAAUUGGAAUGAGUACAAUUUAAAAUCCUUAACGAGGAUCUAUUGGAGGGCAAGUCUGGUGCCAGCAGCCGCGGUAAUUCCAGCUCCAAUAGCGUAUAUUAAAGUUGUUGCGGUUAAAAAGCUCGUAGUUGGAUCUCAGUUCUGGGUGAGCACGGGUCCGCCAUAACAUUGGUGGACUGCUGACUUGCCCGGUGCAAAACCGCCCGGCUUCUCCCACGGUGCUCUUCACCGAGUGUCGUGGGUGGCCGACACGUUUACUUUGAGAAAACCAGAGUGCUUAAAGCAGGCGCAAGACGCCCGAAUGACUGUGCAUGGAAUAAUGGAAGAGGAUCUCGCUUCCGUCUUGUUGGUUCCUCGGAAGGCGAGAUAAUGAUUAAUAGAAGCAGUCGGGGGCAUUCGUAUUGCGACGUUAGAGGUGAAAUUCUUGGAUCGUCGCACGACGAACUACUGCGAAAGCAUUUGCCAAGAAUGUUUUCGUUAAUC